UAAGCCGGCUGUCGUUCUAGAUGCCGUUAUGUUUUCUUUUACACGAGUUUAUCGACUAUCUGAGGUUAUCUAUGAUGCAGACUGACAAACUGAAGCGACUAAGGGAGAGGAUGAUCAAAGUGCGGAAGCUUUUUCGGGACACUGAUUCAACAGAAUUUGUUAUUGUAACAAUUCCCAUGGUUAAGCCCAUCCCAAUUUCUUAAGUUCAAUGUUGACACCUCCAAGAAAAUGGAAAGGAGACGAUAAGCACCUGUUAAAAUUUGUGGUUAAGAAGCAUAUCAAGCAAGGCCAAGGUCAUGAAGGUGGGAUCUUUACAGUUGAAGCCCCUCUUCAUGUUUCAAAUGUUCAAGUUAUUGAUCCAGUCACAGGGUAUGUGACUGC